AUACACACACACUUAUAUAUAAGUGUAUGUGUGUAUAUAUAUACACACACACUUAUAUAUAAGUGUGUGUGUAUA
rnacentral:pre_miRNA from 10 species